UAGGGAAUCUUCGGCAAUGGGGGGAACCCUGAUGCAGCGACGCCGCGUGAGCGAUGAAGGAAUUCGUUUCGUAAAGCUCUGUCCUUGGAGAAGAUAAUGACGGUAACCAAGGAGGAAGCACCGGCUAAAUACGUGCCAGCAGCCGCGGUAAUACGUAUGGUGCGAGCGUUGUCCGGAAUUAUUGGGCGUAAAGGGUACGUAGGCGGUUUGCCAAGUCAGAUGUUAAAACUUGAGGCUUAACCUCAUGUUGCAUUUGAAACUGUCAAACUUGAGUAGUGGAGAGGAAAGUGGAAUUCCUAGUGUAGCGGUGAAAUGCGUAGAUAUUAGGAGGAAUACCAGUAGCGAAGGCGACUUUCUGGACACAAACUGACGCUGAGGUACGAAAGCGUGGGGAGCAAACAGG
rnacentral:rRNA from 1 species